UACGUAGGGGGCAAGCGUUGUCCGGAUUUAUUGGGCGUAAAGAGCGUGUAGGCGGCCUUACAGGUCAGCUGUGAAAACUCGAGGCUCAACCUCGAGACGUCGGUUGAAACCGUAAGGCUAGAGUCCGGAAGAGGAGAGUGGAAUUCCCGGUGUAGCGGUGAAAUGCGCAGAUAUCGGGAAGAACACCCGUGGCGAAGGCGGCUCUCUGGGACGGUACUGGCGCUGAGACGCGAAAGCGUGGGGAGCGAACAGG
rnacentral:rRNA from 1 species